rnacentral:rRNA from 1 species
UAGGGAAUAUUGCUUAAUGGGCGAAAGCCUGAAGCAGCAACGCCGCGUGAACGAAGAAGGCCUUCGGGUCGUAAAGUUCUUUUACGUGGGAUGAGGAAGGACAGUACCACGAGAAUAAGUCUCGGCUAACUACGUGCCAGCAGCCGCGGUAAAACGUAGUAGACGAGCGUUAUCCGGAUUUACUGGGCGUAAAGCGCGUGUAGGAGGCGCUACAAGUUGGAUGUGCAAGCUCCCGGCUUAACUGGGAGAGGUGGUUCAAGACUGUAG